UAGCGAUUGUUUAUUAAAAACACAGGACUCUACUAAGUGGUAACACAAUGUAUAGAGUCUAACACCUGUCUAGUGCUGGAAGGUCAGAAGGAGAAGUCUUAUAAGCUUUGAAUGGAAGCCUCGGUAAACGACAACAGUAACUCUAACUAUCCUAAGGUAGCGAAGUUCCUUGUCGCAUAAGUAGUGACCUAUACGAAUGAUGUAACGACUA
rfam:Lupinus angustifolius cultivar Tanjil chromosome LG11, whole genome shotgun sequence.